GUUGAACGCUGGCGGCAGGCCUAACACAUGCAAGUCGAGCGGCAGCGGGAAAGUAGCUUGCUACUUUUGCCGGCGAGCGGCGGACGGGUGAGUAAUGCCUGGGAGAUUGCCCAGUCGAGGGGGAUAACAGUUGGAAACGACUGCUAAUACCGCAUACGCCCUACGGGGGAAAGCAGGGGACCUUCGGGCCUUGCGCGAUUGGAUAUGCCCAGGUGGGAUUAGCUAGUUGGUGAGGUAAUGGCUCACCAAGGCGACGAUCCCUAGCUGGUCUGAGAGGAUGAUCAGCCACACUGGAACUGAGACACGGUCCAGACUCCUACGGGAGGCAGCAGUGGGGAAUAUUGCACAAUGGGGGAAACCCUGAUGCAGCCAUGCCGCGUGUGUGAAGAAGGCCUUCGGGUUGUAAAGCACUUUCAGCGAGGAGGAAAGGUUGAUGCCUAAUACGCAUCAACUGUGACGUUACUCGCAGAAGAAGCACCGGCUAACUCCGUGCCAGCAGCCGCCGUAA
rnacentral:rRNA from 1 species